ACAGAAAAAAAAAUGUACAUAAGAUUCAGUUCUAGGAUAGACUUGCCUUUACUUGUCCAAUAAUACUUUGUAAGCAGAGGCAAUAGCAUGCACUUUCAAUCUCCUCACACAGGGGUGAAUUGAUACCAGGUUAGCCUGUGCGCUCUUACGCCAAGCCCAUCAGCCGAUGCAUAGUGUGGAAUGAGCGCCCCCCCUCCCCAACCCCCACUCCAUUUGCUUUGCUUAGCUUAUUCUGUUACAGUCUGCGCUGAGGUUUAUAACUUUAGGAUUGAAAAGCCUCAUUUCCUCCUGGGUGUCUUGCAGCCAUCAGGUCUAAGCGGAGAUCAUAGCUGCCCACUUCCCUGGUAAAGAAAGCUAUGCCACAGAUGAGGUUUAUGCAGUUUAGAAAUUGUAGUUUUUACCAAACUUCUUCUAAAUGGAAAUACAAUUUUCAUUCAAACUAAACAUUUUAAUGCCAAAAGUAACAAAUGGAAGUAAGAUCACACUUAAUUGUGCUCAUUUUCCAACACUCAUUUUCCAUUAAGAAAUUAAUGGAAAUUAGAAUUAGUGAAUUCUGAUUUUUUUUUUCCGUAGAGAUCUGGAAGUGACCAGACUGAGAAUAACAAUGGUUAACAUUUAAUGCCAGUGAUCAAAUGCCCAACACUAGGCCAAGAGCUUUUCCUGGAUGAUCUCAUAGGAUUCUCUCUCCAGUCCUAUGAGGUAGUUAUUGUUAUUAGCCCUAAUUUGGAGAUGAGGAAAUCAAGGCAGAAGAGAAGCCUGAGACUCAGACUGGCAACACUGGGCUUUGAUGCCAGGUAACCUGUCUACUGGCCCAUGACUGACAUACUUCAUAAUGUGCCACAAGAGGGCACAAUUGCAACUAUAACCUGAACUUCUAGACUUUGGUGAAGAUUCUAUGGUAAUCAUAGGUGGAGGAGAUUCAAGUAGAGGCAGUGGGUUUGAGGAAGUGUUUGGGCGAGAGAAAAAUAUCAAAGAAUGAUAUUUAGGGAUAAAUAAGGGAAAAAAGGGAAAUCAUCCCCGAACUCUGCAUCAAUUCCAGUUCUCUACUCAGUCAUCAUAACUUAUUUAUAGAUAGCCUACUAGGUACCAAACAUAGAGGUGUCAGGGAUGACCAGACAGACAUCAUUUUUCGUCACAAUCUGCAGAAGGACCCAGAAGUAAAUAGACCUGUGCAAUGUGACAAAAGGUCCCAAAGGGCUUUGAAGGGUUUAAAACUUGGAAGUGACAUAGUCAGAUCUGUGUGUAGAAAGCUCAAUCCCUCUACCUGUAUGUAGCCUGUUGCCUACAAUGCUGUGUACUUGAACAAGCCCUGGCCUGGGAGACUGAGGAUGGAAUCUGUGAAGUGUCCUAUGGAUUGUUUCUAUUGACAUAUAAAGAUACGGUUGCUGCAGACACUAGUCAUGCAGAUUUUCCACAUAGAAAUGCAUUAUUCUGAACAUCAUGGAAAAUGAUGUGUGAUAAGUAGAUAUGAGAUUUGUAGCCUUAGUGGGAGAAGAGAUGAGAAUUGAAGAGCAUGCUGUAUUCUCCUAAGAUACUUUGGUAAACUACCAUAAAAAGUUCUAAAAUAUCUGUUCUCCACCUAUUACUUUUCAUUUCAUUCCACUCACACAGCAUUUUGGUUUCACAUUGAACAUUCUAAGCUCAAUCCAUCCUUAGGGCCUUUGCACUGGCCGUUCCCUCUGUGAAGAAUUAUUAAUACUUUUCCUUAGAUAGCCACAUGAUGUGGGUUCUUAUUUCCCUCAGAUCUCUGGUCAAAGGUAACUGUCUUAGAAAGGGCUUUUGUUAUUAACUUGAGUAAAAAACACCUUGCAUGUCAUUUUUUGUUUGUUUGUUUAUUCCUGUCUCUAUCAGUAAAACUUCAGCUUCAUGAGUAUAGAACCUUGGGCUGUCACAUUCACUGAUACAAUCCCAGUAGGUAGAACAUUACCUAACACAUAGUAGGAGCUUAUUAAAUACUUGCUAUAAGUGAACGAAUGAAACAGGAGACAGAUUUAAAAACCAAAUUUAAGAUGAUGUCAUGAAAAUUCUAACAAUAAUUACUAAAACAUCACCAUUAUUCAUCCUUUCUAUACUAAAAUGUGACAUCUGUUUAAUGGUCUUCUCUAAAAUGUCAUAUAAUUUAGAGGGAAAAUGCUGAAUUGUUGUAGGGUUUUUGCACAUACAUAAUAUCCCGCUUAAAAUUAUUCUGACUAUGAUACUAUGAUACUAUAGAUAAGCACUCUCAUAUCAAGAUAUAAUUUGGGGCCCUAGUUCUUAUUUUCCAGGUUAAAUGACAACUAGGUUGUAUAUAUCAAUAUGUGAAAAGAAGUUAACGUAUUUAUUACUUUUCUG